GCAAGGAGACCUUUUGUCUCCUGCAGUCAUGGAAAAUGUGUUCACAUUCUACCUCAGCGUGUCAGGCAUCAGGCAUGUCGAAACUCAUCCUGUUAACUGGACACUGAAGCCAGGAGUACUGCUGUGGUAGGACUAAAAGUGUGUUUACAUUAAUAAAAUAACUUUUCAAAUGUUACUAAAUAGGAUCUUAGUGCACAAAGGUGUUAAUGCUUGCAGGGGAAUUAGUGAAGACCUAAGCAUAAGCACAUGGACUUGUUUGGUGUCAGAAGAUUUUUGCAGUGGUCACUCUUGACAAUCAUUGGUAGAACCUUCAUUUCCAUUCCUGUGUCCCCAUGUCUCUGCACAGCCUGUGAUUGCCUGGACUGGGUCUCACAGACAGGGGAGAACUGUGUGAAAACGUAUAAACUUAAACCUGCUCUACAGAGCAUUCAGAUGACCUGACAAGUCUGCACUUGCCAGCACCAUCUUGGAGCGAGGAGCUUUCUGCUUUGGGAAUUAAUGGAUGGAAAUUAAUUAGAUGGAAAGAGCUAUCAGAGUGCAGAAAGAGUUCCUGUGUGCUCUGCAACCAUCCUUAGAAGGUGCUUGCAAUGGCAUUUCCUGUCGAACUCUUUUGUGUUGAUGCAAAGAGGAAUGGUUUGUUUUCCUGUUGAGGAAAGUACUUGGGUAUAGUGAACACAGACCUGAUUUCUAUAAAUAUUUAUAUCCAUUAUUGAAAACCCCAGCAAGUUAAUGCUAUGAAUAAGCUGAACAAAUAGGUGAAACCAGCUUGGCUUCUGGAAUAUUUUUUCUCAUAUCCAGGCCCUGCUCUGGGGGAAGCCCAGGGGAUGUCUCUGUGUCCAGCUGUAGCUGUGACCAUUCGUGCAGUUUACAGGUGAGAUCCCCAAAGCCCUGACACAGGUUCUUGCUCUGGAGCCCCUGAUCAAGCCAGUCCUUGUCACUCUUGGCUAAUGGAACCAAGACAGUGCUGCAUAAGCAGAUGUCCUGAACAAUCUAUUUAUUACAUUUAUUACCUUCAUAGCUAUGUUCUGACAUUUUUAUUAGGCUGUCUGGAGGCUGUGGAGCUAAACUGGCCUGCACAUCUCUCCUGUCCCCAGACAUGCUGCUGCCACACUGAAUACACUCUUAAUGGAGCAUCUGUGUUAACGAGCUCUUUGCAGCAUCCCGAGGUUGUUAAAAUUUACCUAAAACUCACGUGUAUUGAGCUGUGAGUUGUGUUUACACCCGCUGAGGUAUUGACAUUCAGGUUUUGUGUGCUCUGUGCCAAGGUUGCAAGGAUUCAGCAUCUUUGUUUUGCUGACCAACAACAUCUCCGGGGCCAGCGAAGCAGCAGUGCUGCAGCUGCGUUGGAUUUGCUGUCAGGAUCUGCUGCUUGCUUUUUGGGUUUUAUGUUUUAAAUGGUGCCUCUAUUUCCACACUAUCAUGAUUUUACCACUUCUGUGUGCCUUGAAACCACUCUGGUUGCUGAAAUGCAGCAUUUGAGGCUGCUCAGUAACUCUUGCAUAUAAAACUGGGUGAACUGUAUUGCCUAGUGAGGCUGCCAGGGACUUCAGAGGGAUUCUUUGAACUUUUAUGGUCUGGCAGUGGGUCAGACUAAAGUCAGUUUGCUCAGGUAAAGCUGAGGAGCCUGUCGUUCCCUUCAGGUGCCACAGAAGGUGAUUACAUCCUGCUUGAAAUCUGGGGCUUGUUACCUGAAAAUGUUCUCAGAAAGUGCUUGUCCUUCCCUCUUCAAGUGGAGGCAAGAGUGUGGUGUUAAAUUAUAAUUUAAAAAGAAAAAAACCCCACACCUUUUGCAGCACAAGUAUGGUUACCUUUUGGUUUGGUCUUUUUUUUAGUCAAAAUAGUUCCUUCCAGGAGUGAACUGGGAAGGAAAGCAAAUCAGAUUAUUGCCAUGAUAACAGUUGGAUGUGCCAAGAUGCCUCAAGGUCUCAAGCUUGACAGCUCAGCCUCUCUCUGGCAUUUACUACAGCUGCUUGGGGAAGAGUGUAAUACCGAGAUAAAGAACAGUUCUGGUCAUCUGCUAGCUCUGCUGACCACCAGAAAAAGUUCUGUGGGCCAUGAUUCAUUACAGUGGCCUUUAUUUUUGAAUACCAGCUCUUUUAUCACUAAACUGUGAGCAAAGGUAUUGAACUGGCAGUAAAAUUUGGGUUUAUUAGAUUAGUAACAGGUAUCUUCAGGGCUAGUUCACUGCAAGGUCUGUGUUUGUGGUUGCAACAUGUCCAGUCCGAUGACAUACUUGUGGAUCACAAUAAUGUGUGAGAUGAUUUCAGGUGUGAUCUUCAGGCUGAAGUAUCAAGCAGAGUAAUAUCAUUGCAUUGCCAAAUUACCAGGUAAACACAGGGAGCUCGCUCAAAAUCUGAAUGCUUAUGAAAAGUGGUUUUGCAUUUGUCAUUCUAAGCGUGUGAACAGAGGAGAAUGAGGAACAGGGCAAGGACAAACGGGGAGUAAAAGGAAUGAAGGUGGGUCAGAUCCUUCAGCUACCAAAAGGGUCUAGAGUCCAGAACAGCUGCUCCCAUGCACUUGUGCUCCUUCAGAGGUUCACAGAGGAGGGGCUGACCAGGAGGUGCCUUAAGGAUUCCAUACGUGCUUCUGUCUCCUGCUGAGCAUGAACCAGGUGCUCUAAGCUAGAGGAAUAGAAAGGGAAACUCUGAAAUUCCCUUUCCUGGUGGGAUACCUUCACAAGACUUCAAACUUAAACAUGAAUCCUCAAGAGUUUUCAGCACUUCAUGGAUUUCAGACACUUAAAUGUAUUUUGAUAAUCUGAGCCAGGGUUUCUGGACUCAUUGCCAUUCAGCUCUUUGGUGUCUUUGCAUCAAAAUCAUUCCUUUAUAAAACUGGGGGAGUGGAUGGUUUGACGGUUGGGAGGAUUUAGAUCUUUCUUUCCCACAGGUCACUGAAAUAAUAUGUUACCUACACUGGUGUUGCUUGUUGAGAGCAGACAUUGCUGCUUGUGUCCCUUUUCCUGCUCGGGUCCCUUCAGUCAUCUUUGCUUCAGCUCUGUAAAAAAGGUGUAAUUGAGCAUUGACCUCUCUGUGUCAGACUCUCGAAGAUUUAAUGAUAAGUAAACUAUACAGUGAUUGGAUGUGGGGCUGGUGAGGGAAGGUUUUAAUGAACUGAUAAUAUUGCAAAAUAGGUGUUGAAUUCUCAACUAGGCAGCCUAAUCAUCGAUCAUGAUGGGCAGCUGACCAAAGGGCUUUAAAAGCAGGGGUUUGGUCUUUCAGUGAUGCUUAUCUCCCUACUCCUGUACUCGUCUGAUUUCUUUGCUCAAGAACUGGAAACAGAAAUACUCUUUGACAGCUUAAAUAACCAAAUUUAGAAUGUGGCUUCCUGUUCUGACUGGUUCUUCAGGAUUAAAGUACAGUUUUGCGUGCUUUCCCUGUUCCUGUCUCCUCCUGCCUUUUUUUGGUUUUUUUUUUUUUUUUUUGUUUUGUUUUGUUUUGUUUUAACUAGAUAUGGGCUCCUUUAUAAUUACUUGGUUAAGUUUCCCUGGCCGUGUGUAAUACAGCUGGUGUGUGUAAGCUGUGCCUUGGUGGGUGGUAUGUCUGUUAAUCACUGGGAAAGCUUUGUGUCUGUGCUGUACUCUAUCUCGUUCUGCCCUGCGUGCAUUGGCUUGUUUAUGAUCGCUGCUACUGAAAUUGCUUCAUGUUUUCCUGAUAAAUUGGGCUGCAGAAUGCAGAAGGCUUCGUCUCCCAUGCUAAAAACAUCCAGAAGGCUUCUGACAGAUCAACUUCUCCUCUGAGGUGCGGAGGUAGCAGCAGGAGAUGAGUGCAGGAGGUGCUGCUUUCAGCCACUCAGUCUCUACCUGUUUACAGGUUUGCUGCACUAAUUUAAGGCUCUUCCCAAAUAAAUCAUCUAUUUGGACCCUUAA